rnacentral:rRNA from 1 species
AUGCCGCCUCCGCUGCGCCACCUGCUGCCGCUGCUCCUCACGGCGGCCGCGGCCUCCACGGCUGCCGCGUUCGUACUGGAGGAGGCCACGGUCGAGUCCAUCCACCGUGCCUUCGCCACCGGCGAGCUCACCUCCCACGGCCUCAUCGAGCUCUACCUGCGCCGCAUCGCGUCGCUCGACCCAGCCCUCCACGCCGUCGUCGAGAUCGCCGCCGCCGCCCGCGCCGACGCCGCCCGCCUCGAGGGGGCCGUGCUCUCGCCGCUCCACGGCAUCCCCUGCUGA